CUUGACAGGAAACAUGACCCACUACAGACCAUCGACACCCAACACACCUUGAACUGCGUACAUAUGCUACUAGCAUUUCUUAUUUUCGGGUUUGCGGUUAGACAGUUUAGGGCACAACUUCAACCAAACAUCUGGUAUCAAUAAUUUUACUAUUAUGUGGGAUUUGAAGUUUUCACGGUGGUUGAGUCUGAAGGUGGCUGUCCACUUAUCGCCCUGAUGAUGGAGGCAGGAAGGACCUCUGAAACGCUGGUAAACUUCUACCAGACUACACGGCACAACAACCCUGAAGACAGCUUUCAUCAUACAAUUAAUAUAAUGGAGGAAUUCCCCCAAGACCAUUGGAGCCGAGGCCAGGUGUGCGGACAUGUGGGUGAGGGUCGUAACCAAGCUGUGAACAAUACAUUUGUAUUGAGGAGGUCUCACAGAAGCAGGAGUACACAACAGCUUUAACAGAGCCUUUCUACAUGGAAAUUAUCUGGAUGUAAAGUUUGAAAUAAUGGGUUAUAAGCACUAUGUUCAUGUGACAGCAGAACUAUUAAUUUUUGUAUCAUAGAAAUUACAUAUUAAAAAUAGCAA